rfam:Clostridiales bacterium S5-A11 contig007, whole genome shotgun sequence.
UCAAUGACCACGAAAAGGACAUGACCGUCAUUGCCAGGUAACUCAAGAGAAGAGCGUCACGGCUGCAAGCGCUCGUUACCACAGUGAUUGUUACCGCCUUGGAGUCGCCGUUCGGAAAUGAACGGCCGGGCAGACCCGUUAUCACGAUCGAGAGAAUCCGUACGGAUUAACUUGGGUGGAACCGCGAAUUAACUUUCGUCCCAUUU